UUGACCUCGGAUCAGGUAGGAAUACCCGCUGAACUUAAGCAUAUCAAUAAGGGGAGGAA
rnacentral:rRNA from 1 species